rnacentral:rRNA from 1 species
UGAGGAAUAUUGCGCAAUGGGGGCAACCCUGACGCAGCGACGCCGCGUGAGUGAGGAAGGCCUUCGGGUCGUAAAGCUCUGUCAGCAGGGAAGAAGUGCAUGAUGGCUAAUAUCCAUUGUGUUUGACGGUACCUGCAAAGGAAGCACCGGCUAACUCCGUGCCAGCAGCCGCGGUAAUACGGAGGGUGCGAGCGUUGUUCGGAAUCACUGGGCGUAAAGGGCGCGCAGGCGGUCUUAUAAGUCAGAUGUGAAAGCCCACGGCUUAACCGUGGAAGAGCAUUUGAAACUGCAAGACUUGAGUACCAGAGGGGAAAGUGGAAUUCCCGGUGUAGAGGUGAAAUUCGUAGAUAUCGGGAGGAAUACCGGUGGCGAAGGCGACUUUCUGGCUGGAUACUGACGCUGAGGCGCGAAAGCGUGGGGAGCAAACAGG